CGGCGGCUUACACAUGCAGUCGCACGAGAAAGUUCCUUCGGGAAUGAGUAAAGUGGCGCCCGUUUGCGUAACGCGUGACCAACCUGCCCUUGAGAGGACAAUAACUACGGGAAACUGUAGCUAAUACUCCAUAAUGUCUAGAACCCACCUGGGAUCUAGAUCAAAGCCUAGUGCACUCAAGGAUGGGGUCGCGUCGGAUUAGCUCGUUGGUGAGGUAACGGCUCACCAAGGCAACAAUCCGUAGCUGGUCUGAGAGGAUGAUCAGCCACACUGGCACUGAGACACGGGCCAGACUCCUACGGGAGGCAGCAGUGGGGAAUCUUAGGCAAUGGGGGAAACCCUGACCUAGCCAUGCCGCGUGGAGGAAGACACCCCUAUGGGGCGUAAACUCCUUUUCUACCGGAAGAAAACCCUGUUUUGCAGGGCGUGACGGUACGGUAGGAAUAAGCACCGGCUAACUCCGUGCCAGCAGCCGCGGUAAUACGGAGGGUGCAAGCGUUGUCCGGAAUCACUGGGCGUAAAGGGUGUGUAGGUGGGAUAGCAAGUCAGAGGUGAAAGCCUGCGGCUUAACCGUAGAAGUGCCUUUGAAACUGCUAUUCUUGAGUUCUGGAGAGGUUGCUGGAAUUCGUGGUGUAGCGGUGAAAUGCGUAGAUAUCACGAGGAACACCAGAGGCGUAAGCGAGCAACUGGACAGAUACUGACACUGAUGCACGAGAGCGUGGGGAGCAAACAGGAUUAGAUACCCUGGUAGUCACGCCGUAUACGAUGAAUGCUCGCCGUUACUCCGCUUAGGGAGUAGUGGCUAAGUUAACGCGUUAAGCAUUCCGCCUGGGGAGUACGAUCGCAAGAUUGAAACUCAAAGGAAAUGACGGGGGCCCGCCAAGCGGUGGAGCAUGUGGCUUAAUUCGAUGCAACGCGAAAAACCUUACCUAGGCUCGAAAGCCUACCGGACGGGCCCGAAAAAGGACCUCCCCUAAGGGCUGGUAAGGGAGUGCUGCAGGGCUGCCGCCCCUCGUGGCCGGAAAAGUUGGGGUAAUUUCCCCAACGAGCGCAACCC
rnacentral:rRNA from 1 species